CGCACAAACACUUCUCUUCCUUAACCUUCUCACCUACCCACGCCUCUCUCUCCCUCUCUGCUCUCACCCACGUCUCUUCCUUCCUUCUUUAUCUCUCUCUCCCUCUCUCUCGCUCUGUUUAUUCUUCAACAGAACCCUCUCGACCACCGCCAUCACGACCACCUCUCUUCUCCCUCGCAGGACCCUCUCUGUUUCUCCUUCUUCAACAGAUCCCUCGACCACCGCCAUCACGACAGCCUCUUCCUCAUCCCCCUUUAUCACUUCAGUCCUCUCCUCCUCGCAACAGAUCUCGCCGAAACCCUCUUUGCCUCUUUGCUACCGAUGCUUGGCAAGACACCGUUAAUGCGAGGUACGAUUUUAUCACUUGGUGUUGGUGUAUGCGUAUUGUAUCACUUGGCAAGGUACGAUUUUUCUGAAUUUGGAGUUUUUUCUGAAUUUUUUUUUGGUUCAUUGUAGGCGUUUAAUGGAAUUACAGCUGUAAAAACCCUAGGUCAGCUUUCAGUUUGUUGAUACAUAUACAUAUACAUAUAUUAUAUAUCUAUAUCUAUACUUUUAUACUAUUAUAUAAUGCACACAACUCACUUGCUAUGAACAAUGCACUAUUUUGAUUUCUGAAAAACCUACUAUAGUUCUUUUAUUUAUUAAUUAUAUGAUUAAAAUAUAAUUAAAUUUAAAAGUAUUGAUUUAAAAUGUAAUUUAUCAAAUUUAUUGACUUUAACAUGAAUUUUGUGUAUGCCUAGGCAUGGGCAUACGAAAAAUAUUUAUAUUAUCAAGCAAAAACACCACAACAAAGGCCCGUCACAAAUUUGCAUCAAGGAAAAGAAAAAAAAAAUGAAUUAAUCUAUAAGAAAAACCUCAAGUAGUCCCCAUCUAGCCCAGCAACUAUUACAGUUUUCCCAUCAUGGUCAGCAACCUUGCAGCAAAAAUCAUAAAGGUCGCCAAAAAAUUGAGCUUCAUCAAUGCCAAUCACAUCCAGCUGCCAACAUGUGACCAGCAUUUAGAAGAUAAUAGAAAAAGCAUUAAAAAAAAAAAAA